rnacentral:rRNA from 1 species
UACGUAGGGUGCGAGCGUUGUCCGGAUUUAUUGGGCGUAAAGAGCGUGUAGGCGGCCAUGUAGGUCCGUUGUGAAAACUCGAGGCUCAACCUCGAGACGCCGAUGGAAACCAUGUGGCUAGAGUCCGGAAGAGGAGAGUGGAAUUCCUGGUGUAGCGGUGAAAUGCGCAGAUAUCAGGAAGAACACCGAUGGCGAAGGCAAUCCCCUGGGCCUGCACUGACGCUCAUGCACGAAAGCGUGGGGAGCAAACAGG